GGAGAGGGAGGAGGGCUUCCCCUCCCCCAUGGAGACGGCCUCCCUGAGGGCGACACUCUGGGAAGAGGGGCCCUCCAGGUUCUCCUGGAGCUUCACCCCUUGAGCCAGCUGGCUUUCAUGGCUCUGCGCUUGACCCUCUUCCCAGACUCUCUUUCCAGCCUCUUCUACUGAUGUUUUGCCUGAGUCACUCGACUUCCCUCCGGCCUUAGUUUCCCCAUCUGUAAACUGGGCACAGUAAGAGUAGUACUCCUCGGGGUUGUUUUAGGAUUGAGAACCCACAGGGAAGGCACUUAGCACAGUACCCGGGACACUUCGAGUGCUCAGGAAGUAGUAACUGUCACAAACCUCACAGCGGGUCAUUUUGUCAGUGGCUGGCAGGACAGCCGGCUGGUCCCUCUGCCUUCUGCCUGGCAGCGGUUCUCAAUCUGCAGCAUAGGCUCUGCGGUCAAUGUCAAAUACAUUUGUCAUCCUACAAAACGCCUGGUUCACGGAGAUUCAGUGUCUUGCUGACGGAGGAGACAGACAGAUGUGAUGGCAGGCCCUUGAUGGGCAGCUGUUGAGGAGAUGGAGGUCUAAGGAGCAGUGCUCCAGCCGGUAAAGAUGAGCCACGGGACGGCGAAGCAUGAUGGGAUUUAGGAGACGGCCCGUGUACAGUCCCAAUGGCAGCUGGCAGAAGGCCACCAACCACGGAGUGCUACAGGGACGAGCCCAACGGAAUUCGCCAGCUGCUCACUGAGGAGCUGAGCAUCUGCUUCUUAAGGCCAGGACGAGGACCUCCGGACGCACACACAGCACAGGAGGGGUCACAGACGUUGACCUGGGGCCCAGAAGGGGAUAAGACACCACGAGUUCAGGACAUCCGAGGCGUGAAGACCCCUCUGCUUGUAUGGCCUAGAACACGGAGCUUCAAGGUUGGAAAUGCCUUUGCCACCACCCACUCCCAGCCUGCUUCUUCAGAUGGCCAGCUGAGGCCCUGAGACGGGCACUCGCCCACUUGUGCCUGGGAGCCACGGGGCUAGGACUGGAGCCCGGGGCUUCUGCCUUUGUGUGGGUGCAGCUGCGAGGUACAGAGGGAGGAGGGGUCUUCUUGCUCCGCCUCCCCAGCAGGCCUAGCAGUGGGGUGGGGAUGGGUCCUCGGACAGAGCGAGGGCAGGCCAGCCUGGGACCUGCUCCAGUGUCACUACAGAGCCAUCAAUGCGGUGGUGCCAGGACAGGCCGAGUGCUGGAAAGGACACCCUGGCCACCUCCCCAACCAAGAGGAGCAUUGUGACUCCAUACACGAGGAGCCACAGUCGGUGGGAAUUCUGAAUCCAAGCAGGAGCAAGUGACCUAGUUUAUCAUCCAGAAUAAGGAACAAGGGCGAGGCUCCCCUGCGCUGGCCCAAUUUGGGGCGCUCAUUUUAAAAAGUGAAGCAAGAACUGGGGAAAAUCUUUUUUUUUUUUUUUUUAAGCUCAACGACCCUGCUUGGGCAAGUGGGAGAAAUGAAUUGAUUUCAAGAUACAAUUUUUACAGAGAAUCAGCCUCUCCCCCAACCCACAAAAUCAAUGCUGAACAAAACCCGAGAGUAUUUGCUGGGAGGAGCUCAGGCCUGCUCCGCCCAGGACGUCUGGAUGUGGUGGAAGCCCCUGUGGUUGUAACGGUGGUGAUCACACUGGGCAUGCCCAGUGAGUGGCCCAGAGAAGGCGCCG